rnacentral:tRNA from 1 species
GGUCUCGUGGUGUAGCGGUUAUCACGUCUGCUUUACACGCAGCAUGUUGCCGGUUCAAUCCCGGCCGAGAUCA